CGCAGCCCCGUCAAAUUCGGUCGCCGCCUCCGCCGUGGCGGCGACCGGCCAGCCGGCUGCCACAGCAACUUCCGUAGUCCAUGGGCCCCGCGUCCCUUCCCGUGGGACCCCGGGGAUAAAAUCGUGCCACGGACACUC
ensembl:snoRNA